CUGAUGCGUUGUUGGGUAGGGGAGCGUUCUGUAAGCCUGCGAAGGUGUGCUGUGAGGCAUGCUGGAGGUAUCAGAAGUGCGAAUGCUGACAUAAGUAACGAUAAAGCGGGUGAAAAGCCCGCUCGCCGGAAGACCAAGGGUUCCUGUCCAACGUUAAUCGGGGCAGGGUGAGUCGACCCCUAAGGCGAGGCCGAAAGGCGUAGUCGAUGGGAAACAGGUUAAUAUUCCUGUACUUGGUGUUACUGCGAAGGGGGGACGGAGAAGGCUAUGUUGGCCGGGCGACGGUUGUCCCGGUUUAAGCGUGUAGGCUGGUUUUCCAGGCAAAUCCGGAAAAUCAAGGCUGAGGCGUGAUGACGAGGCACUACGGUGCUGAAGCAACAAAUGCCCUGCUUCCAGGAAAAGCCUCUAAGCAUCAGGUAACAUCAAAUCGUACCCCAAACCGACACAGGUGGUCAGGUAGAGAAUACCAAGGCGCUUGAGAGAACUCGGGUGAAGGAACUAGGCAAAAUGGUGCCGUAACUUCGGGAGAAGGCACGCUGAUAUGUAGGUGAGGUCCCUCGCGGAUGGAGCUGAAAUCAGUCGAAGAUACCAGCUGGCUGCAACUGUUUAUUAAAAACACAGCACUGUGCAAACACGAAAGUGGACGUAUACGGUGUGACGCCUGCCCGGUGCCGGAAGGUUAAUUGAUGGGGUCAGCGCA
rnacentral:rRNA from 1 species